rnacentral:pre_miRNA from 13 species
CCAGCUCUCACCUGGUGGCAGAUAUCUCGCUGGGGUCUCCAAAUAUUGUAACCAAGUGAGUUAUAGAGAAACGCCACACUUUGAGACUAAUUAAAGAGACCUUUAUUAG